AACCCCAUCAUCUACAGUGUCAAGUCCAAGCCCAUCAGGGAGGCCAUGCUUAGGGUGCUGAGGGAGAAGAGGAAAGGCUGAUGAAGUCAAGAAGUAACCUCAAAAAUGGAGGGAAAACACAGUCAGUUAUAACCUAUGUCCAGAAAGCCCAUAUACUGAGCCCUGACCCAGAGACAUUAUCAAGAGAAUGACAAGCAAAUGCAUAUCCUCAGGCCAUGCUCAGGGUGCUGAGGGAGAAGAGGAAAGGCUGAUGAUGUCAAGAAAUAACCUCAAAAACAGAGGGAAAACACAGUCACACAGUCAUAACCUAUGUCUGAAAAACCCAUUUUUCUGAGCCCUGACCCAGAGCCAUUAUCAAGAGAAUGACAAACAAAUGCAUAUCCUCAGACUCAUGGGUGAAAAACAGUCCUGAUUCUUUACUUCACUUAUUAACCUCAGCUUUUUCAUUCAAAACUUACUUGUGCAAGACUCUGUAGUUGUUAUAAGGAAUAACAUUAAAUGAACCAUAGGGAGUCUCUUCCCUCCAUUGAAGGAUAGAAGCUCUAAAUACACAAUUACAGUAAGUAUAAUAAGGCUGUGAGAGUUUCACACAAAGAGUUAUAGGAAUGUGGAAGAGGGUUUGCUCCCUUGCCAGGGGAAAAUGAGAAAGGUCUCAAGGAAGGAGGCUAAAAGGUGAGUCAGUUGUCAGGAAGGCAAAGAGAGGUCACACAUAAUCACUGGAAAUGAUUGUAAAAGUGAAUAAACUGAGAUGUGGAGUUAUCUGGUUGCUUGAGGAAAGGUGAGUGGUCAGAUGUGGCUCAGCAUAAUGUGUGUGUUUAUGUGUGUGUGUACGUGCUACAGGCAAUGAAAGUGUAGUACAGCUCUUCAGAGCUAGGGAUCCAAUGGACAUUCUUUGCUCCAAAAGUGUACCUCCUUGCUUGAUAAUGGUCUUUUUCUGGCCUUUGACUGUCACCUGAGAUUCUAAUUUCAGAGACUAUAGAUUUUAAUUACACAUCAUUCACGCCUUCCUCAUCUCUUAAAAUUCCAUGUCCCUGGGUUAGGAACAUCUUCAUUCCAAAGUCAUCACAAAGAGACCACUGAGGUAGGCACUUUCUGCAUUGUCAGCUGCACUGG
rnacentral:lncRNA from 1 species